UAUCCCCGCUACCCCCUAACAGGCCCUAGUGUGUGAUGUUCCCUUCCCUGUGUCCAUGUGUUCUCAUUGAUCAACAACCACUUAUGAGUAAGAACAUGAGGUGUUUGGUUUUCUGUUCUUGUGUCAGUUUGCUGAGAAUGAUGAUUUCCAGCUUUAUUCAUGUCCUUGGGAAGGACAUGAACUCAUCCUUUUUUCAUGGCUGCUUAGUAUUCCAUGGUGUAUAUGUGCCAAAUUUUCUUUAUCCAGUCUAUCAUUGAUGGGCAUUUGGGUUGGUUUCAAGUCUUUGCUAUUGUGAACAGUGCUGCAGUGAACAUACGUGUAUGUGUGUCUUUAUAGUAGAACGAUUUAUAAUCCUUUUGGUAUAUACCCAGUAAUGGGAUUGCUGGGUCAAAUGGUAUUUCUAGUUCUAGAGCCUUGAGGAAUUGCCACACUGUCUUCCACAGUGGUCAAACUAAUUCAUACUCGCAUCAAGAGUGUUAACUUUUUUAUUGGGGAUUGAGAAAUGAAUAUGAUGUUUAUAUUCACACAACACUUCGACACUAGAUGUGUGUGUUCCUCCCCCUCCCCCGCCGACAUCAAGCAAUUCUUCAAUUCUUUGGACCCCAGCUGGGUGUAUGACAACUUAAUCUAAUCACAGGCAAUGAACCACAGCACUCAGCCACAGCUGUGGAUUCUUAAAGACAGAGACUUAAAAAAAUGUGCGUGUGUAUGUGCGCAUGCACAUAUGUGGAGGGAAGGUGGAAGAACUGAUCCAUUUCUACAUCCAGAUUGUGGGAUACUCCGAUGAGGACAGAGAAAAGGAAAAAAUCAGGGAGGGCAAGUUUCUUAUUCAAGUUCACAUCUAACGUCAUUUGUGAUGAAAAGAGCAAAGGAGUGGUGGCAAUGAACCUGAACUGAAGGGAAAGCGUACCUUUGCAGACCGAUGUUGGAGGAGUUGUUCAGGACGACCUUGAGUAAAAACAAGACCCUUGUAAGGCAGCUGAGGCUUCCCAAGCAGCAGUGCUCACUGUGGUUCUGUCUGGGGAGGUAAGUGGGACUUGGAAUCAAAUUGCAAGAAAAUCCUAGUAUUAGGGCCUUGAUGUUGAGCCUGAUUGACUUUGGUAUAUUCCCAAGCCCUGAGUACCUUAUCAGAAGUUCUUUCUGCUGCUCAUGGCCAUGGCUGAGGAGUCCUGGGAAAAGAGCCUUAGUAAUCAAUUGACGCUGAAAGUGCUUUCAGAUGUUUUAGGCUUGCUUUAUGGCUGAAUGUGGAGGUGCCGAGAAUCAGGCUUUGAACUGCACGGCAAUGACAUGGCCAAGUGCAUGCCUUGAGAGGCAAAAAAUUAUAAAAGAAUGUGGAAUUGAAGUUUUGUUAAGUGUAGGUUUUUAAGCUGUGUAUAUGGAACACUUUCCAUAUAACACACGGUAACUUCUCCACUGUCACUCUGUCACAGUAAUGUUUAUUCCUCCCACACUGCUACUGAUUCCCUGCUUCCCAACCUUUCUCCAAAAAGCUCCCUGUGUGCUUUUUCUGUCCUGGUGAGAGAGAUAAACAGGAUGGAAUCACAAACGUUGGAAUUUCCCAGCAGGCCAUGCAGAGGCCCCACCUUGCUGAUGUGGUUUCAGUGUUUCCAGGGACUAUCAGCUCUUUGUUGACGCUCAGGAAUAAAAGGUCAGUUUCCUUUUAGGCCCUUUCAUUCCCAGACUUGCCUGGGGAUGGCCGACUCGUAUGCAGAAGAGAGACUGAAUCAGUUUAAAGCCACAAACCACAAUCCCUGGCUACUGAUGAUUUCCUAGGCCCUUUCUUGUCUUUUGGUUUUUCUUUUCUGUUUCCUCCCUCCCUCUCUUCUCUCCCUCUUUCCCUCCCUCCUUCCCUUCUCUCCCUCCUUCCCUCCCUUCUUCCCUCUCUCCAUCUUUCUCUCUCUCUCUCUGUCUCUCUUCUUUUCUUUCGACAGAGUCUUGGUUUGUUGCUCAGGCUGGAGUGCAAUGAUACCAUCUUAGCUCAUCACAACCUCCCCAUCCCAGGUUCAAGCUAUUCUACUGCCUCAGCCUCCUUAGUAGCUGGGACAAUAGGCAUGCACCACCAUCCCCAGCUAAUAGUAGAGACAGGGUUUCACCAUGCUGUCCAGGCUGGUUUCGAACUCCUGACCUCAUGAUCCACCCGCCUUGGCUUCCCAAAGGACUGGGAUUACAGGCAUGAGCCACCAUGCCUGGCCCUUGGCUGGUGUUUCUUGUGCUGGUUAUCAUUGGCUUCAGGGAGAUUGAGCACAAUCUUAGAGCUUUACUCUUCCCUGGCUAUUCCAGCAGAUUGGCUCCAGCUUCCUGCUCCCUGCUUUCAAUUAUAGAAUAUCUCCCUUAAUUUGCAGUUCCAUUUUUUGUGCUCCUCUUUAUCCAGUCGUCCACAAUGCUGCUACCUGUCAGGUUUGUGCUAGGAUCUGGGAGCAGAGAGAUGACUAAAACAUGGUGAUAGAUCUAAAAAUUUAGGCUUGAGUUUAGGGCAGAAAUAUCUCAUAGGUGGUGUUGUGUGUACUUAUACCUGGAGAGACGAAAUGCUGGGUUCUCUCUCCUUCUGUGAUGAGGUAACUCAACCCGUUAGCUCAUUACAGGUCGCUCAGUGGUAAUACUCCAGUUCUAUCGUUGCUUUCUAUGCCUUAGCCAGAAUACUGCUCUGGAAGAGAAACUUCACUUAUCAGCAUAUGGUUACUCUGAAGUGCAGUUUGUACAGGAAAGUCAGAAUUAAUGCUACCUUCUUUCCCUUUAUUAAUUAUUUUUAAGGAAUUUAAACACUGAAGAUUUCAGAGAUUGUACGCCUUCUUCCCCAACUAGUUUUCUCCUCUGUCCUCUGGCCCCUAUGUAAUCUAGAUUCUUACUCUCUCUUUCUCUUAAAUCCAACUUUGUAGAGCUUCAGAGAAAGAAUUAUGGACUCAUUCACUCUAAAAUACAAAUGACAACAGGUUACAGUGUGAUUACUCCAGACAGACUUUCUGUUUAACUUCCAGCAACAUCUUAAAUUAGAGAAAUAAAGCUUCUUGGAUAAGAAUAACAUGUAUGCACUUACUAUUAUAUGCCAGCUAUAUACAAUGUACAAUUGUAUGUACAAUGCCUACAAUAACCCUGUGAGUAAGGUAUUCUAUGUUAUUCCCAUUUUACAGAUGCGGAAAUAAGGCUCAGAUUGUUUCAGUAACUUGCCAACUAAAAGGUGACUGAGGUGAAACUAAAACCUAUGGUUGUCUGCUUUCAAAGCCAGACAUCCUGUUCUGGAAUCACAUCCUGUUCUGCCUUCUUGGUAGAAUUUCAGACAUCUUGAACAAGGAUAAAGGGCUUUGCGGGAGAGGAUUGCUUCCCAAGGUUGAAAUCUUCCAUUAGACAGACCCAAGUUACUCAUUGUGUCAGAGUGUAUGAAAGAGCCUGGCAAUCACCCACGAAAUCAAAGAUUUGUCACUGGGAGCGUCAUUGUUGAAAAUAGUUCUCUGCCACUGCAGCAGUAGUGAUGCUUUAGCUGCAGCAGCUCCUGUCUGCUUCUCCAACUCCUCCUUCCUCUUGUUCACUUGAUCCAGUCACACUGGCCUUUUUCCUGUUCCUCAAGCAUGCCAAGCUCUUUUCUAUUUCAGAGAUUUGCAUCUACUGUUCUUCUCCUGUAUCUUUUUUUAAAUUUAGUUUUUUUUCCAACUUCAUUGAGGUGUAUUUGACAAAUAAUGUCGUGUAAGUUCGAGAUGUACAAUGUGAUGAUUUGAUAUACAUAUAAAUUGUGAAAUCAUUUGUGUGUGUGUGUGUGGUAAGAACAUUUAAGGUCUACUCUCAGAAAAUUUCAAAUAUGUAAUACAGUAUUGUUAACUAGAGUCACCAUGCAGUACAUUAGGUCUGCAGAACAUAUUUGUCUGAAUAUAAAUUUUUUUUUGAGAUGGAGUGAAUAUAAAUUGAGAUGAAAGUUUGUACCCUUUGACCAGCAUCUCCCCAGCUACCACCCGCAACCCCUGGCAACCAAUAUUCUACCCUCUGUUUCCUAUGGGUCCAACUUUUUUAGAUCCCACUUAUAAGUGAGAUUUUUCCUGGCUCUUUCCAUGACUAACUUCUUGACAAUCAGGUCUUAGCAUAAAUAUCACUCAAUCAGAGACAUUCCCCUGACCUUUCUCUGUAACAUAGCCACUCCCUAUCCCCCAAUCACUCUCUUUCUCAAUCCUCAGUUUCUUUUCCAGCUUUUAUUACCAUCUGAAAGUAUCUUCUGUCUUUCCCUACUAACUGUAGGGAGAACAUGUACCAGUUUUGCUCACUGCGAUGAUUGUGGUGCCUGGGAUGAGGGGCACUCAGGAAGCCUUUGCUGAAUGAAUGAAUUAGUUCAGGCAUCCUUUGCUCAUUAAAGGCUACACAAAGGCUGUCUCACUACCCCAAAUUCGUCACUGCUGGUUCCAGUUAACCACAAGAACUGCCAUGGCUGUUAUAACAGGCUUUUUCUUAUGUGAAAGUCAGGGGUUCCUGCCUUUUGCAUUUAUGAACCAAAACUUGACAAAAGUGAUCAGAUAUAAUUCUGGUUAGUUAUUAGGCUGAGGUCCAAGAUAAUUCAUGUUCUGGUUGAUACUGUUUGCUUGAGCUUGGUUUGAAUGUUAAUCCUCCCCUACCCUAUGUCCCCAAAUUCAUUUGUUGAAACCUAAUCACCAACAUGAUAGUUUUAAGAUGUGUGACCACUGGGAGGCACAGCCCUGCUGAAUUGGAUUAGUGCCCUUAUAAAAGAGGUGAUGGUUGGUGGGACACAGUGGCUUAUGCCUAUAACCUCAGGACUUCGGGAGGUUGAGGUGGGUUGAUCACCUGAGAUCGGGAAUUUGAGACCAGCCUGACCAACAUGGAGAAACCCUGUCUCUACUAAAAAUACAAAAUUAGCUGGACAUGGUUGUGGGUGCCUGUAAUCCCGGCUACUUGGGAGUCUGAGGCAGGAGAAUCACUUGAACCUGGAAGGCAGAGGUUGCAAUGAGCCAAGAUUGGGCCAUUGCACUCCAGCCUGGGCAACAAGAAUGAAACUCCAUCUCAAAAAAAAAAAAAAAAAAAAAAAAAAAAGGUGCCAGUGAGCAUCCUUGCUCCUUCCCCAUGUGAGAACACAGCAAGAAGGGGUCGUCUGUCAACCGAGAAGUGCCCUCACUAGAAGCUGAAUCUGCUGGCACCUUGAUCUUGUACUUACCAGCAUUUAGGCCUGUGAGAACUAAAUUUCUGUUGUUUGUAAGCCUCCCACAUUGUGGCAUUUUGUUGCAGCAGCCCAUACGGGCUAAGUCAGGGCAUCUUUCAAAUUCUCCCUUUUUGUGUGAAUAUUGAAUACCUCUGGAUGAAAGAAUAUUAUGACAGAAUGGAAAGACAUGCAGAUAUUCUUCUGAAGUUGGAUGUCAGUAACUCCUGAAAUCCUACAAAACUAGAUCUGAAGCUUGGGGGUUUGCAUUAGAGUUAACCAGUGAUUUGAGAAACAGUUUAUAGGGCACUACAUAAUAUGGUCCUAAAAUUACCUGUAUUGGAAUCAUCUGGGGAGGGCAUGAGACUUAUUUAAAAUGCAGAUUAAUUAACUGCAGCCGGACCUCCUCCAUCAAGAUCUUGGGAGCUGGAGCCUGCCAUUCUAUGUUUUGACAAGUCCCCAGUUGUAUUUUAUUAUAUGUUCCUCAAAGCUUGAGAACCAGUGUCAUUAAGAAAGGAAAUUGUAUUUCAUUACAACCUACUUAUCCUGAGGAGCCUUAGGAAGGCUACCAGAACAAAGCUGUCAGCAUUCAGGCUCCAGUCAGCUUUGGAAUCUCAGGGGUCCCACCUGAGAAAUGGCAUAAGUCUUGGUGUGGUGUACGUAUGGAGAGUGUUACAAACCUCUGGGUGGCCAGCAUUCACUAUUUUGCCUUAAAGGGCCUGGAGCAUGUUGGCACUUUGCUUGGGAAAUUUUUGUUUCUGGCCUGCCUGCUUUCUAUUUCACAGGGGUGUGAAAAGUGAGAGUUUCUAAGAAGCCUAAUGAAAGACAUCGCCAAGCUCUCUAGUCACAAGAACUUCCUUGGUUCUUUUAGAUGUUGCCCUUACUGUUUUGCCCGAGGAAAGGCAUAAUUUGUUCUCACCUUGCUGUAAACAUUGUUUAAUAUUCAAAGUAUUAGUUAGGCUCAAACAUCUGUCUUCUGUAUCUGUUCUUGUCUUUAUGGGUCUUUCUCUGAAAGCUUUUCCUUUCACCUCUAAUUUCUCUUUUUUCUUCUUUCAUUUGUCUGAAUCCUUCCUACACUUCAAGGACAAAUCCAAGUUUGUCUUAAUCCACUAACUGCCCAUCUACCUGACGCUUUUUUCCUGGCUUGAAUUCCCAAAGCAGUUGUACCAUGCUGUUUACUACUUCACUAAGUUAAAAAAACAGAAUAGAAUAGAAUAGGCCAGGUGCAGUGGCUCAUGCCUGUAAUCCCAGCACUUUGGGAGGCCGAGGUGGGCUUAUCACAAGGUCAAGAGGUUGAGACUAUCCUGGUCAACAUGGUGAAACCCUGUAUUACUAAAAAUACAAAAAUUAGCCAGGUGUGGUAGUGCACACCUGUAAUCCCAGCUACUCAAGAGGCUGAGGUGAAAGAAUCGCCUGAACCCAGGAGGUGGAGGUUGCAGUGAGCUGAGAUUGUGCCACUGCACUCCAGCCUGGCGACAGAGUUAGACUCAGUCUCAAAAAAAAAAAAAAAAAAAAAAAAAAGCGGGGGAGGGGGGACCAGGCGCGGUGGCUCAAGCCUGUAAUCCCUGCACUUUGGGAGGCCGAGGCGGGUGGAUCAUGAGGUCAAGACAUCGAGACCAUCCUGGUCGACAUGGUGAAACCCCGUCUCUACUAAAAAUACAAAAAAUUAGCUGGGCAUGGUGGCGUGUGCCUGUAAUCCCAGCUACUCAGGAGGCUGAGGCAGGAGAAUUGCCUGAACCCAGGAGGCAGAGGUUGUGGUGAGCCGAAAUUGCGCCAUUGCACUCCAGCCUGGGUAACAAGAGCGAAACUCCGUCUCAAAAAAAAAGAAUAGAAUAGAAUAGAAUAAUGGAAAGUGUUGCUUAACCACAUCUUACUAUUCCCCUGCUCUCAGGAAUCAUGAAUGUUUUUUGUGCAGCCAUCAUUCAAGAGAAAACCCCAUGACACUUUGCCAGCACACAGGACACUUCUUGCAGGGGCCAGCAGAGGGCAGUGGAGCACCCGUGGUUCUUACUCCUUUUUCCACCUCUGACUAUGACCAGGAUAACACAAGGAGCCAUUUUUUGGUGUCCUGUUCCAUCUCUUCCCUCCCCUCAGUCUGUAAGCCAAAACCACAGACUGUGACCCUUUCCCACUGGGAAAACCCUCUUGAGUAUUUAUUUAUUUCUAGAGAGUCUUGCCCUGUCACCCAGGCUAGAGUGAAGUGGCACGAUCUCGGUUCAUGCAACCUCUGUCUUUUGGGCUCAAGCGAUUCUCAUGCCUCAGCCUCCCAAGUAGCUGGGAUUACAGGUGGCCACCACUACACCUGGCUAAUUUUUGUAUUUUUAGUAGACAUGGAGUUUCACCGUGUUGGCCAGGCUAGUCUCCAACUCCUGGCCUCAGUGAUCCACCUGCUUUGGUCUCCCUAAGUGCUGGGAUUACAAGGCCUGACCCCUCCUGCCUAUUUUAAAUGUAAGUUUUGCAGGAUUUAGUUUAGCAAUUGCAUCUAUGUAAGUUACUCCUACUCUCUUGGCAUGGAUUGACCUUGCUGGUGGGGAAUUCCAGCCUGUGGCCUGGUGAAAGGGGGAGAUGGGGUGAGAAGGGUGCAGAGGAAAGAACUGCUGGGAACAAUCCCCUGACUUCCUAGGAGGAUAGGGUUGGUCCUAGGCUGAAGAGAGCAAACCUCCCAUAUCCCUCAGGGGCCAAGCUCCCUUCCUGGAAUGAUCGGUGAUGAAAUAGCUGUUGGUUCUGACUUAUCAAAAGGGUCAUGUGCUGCAAGAAGUGUUUAUCUUUCCAUGAUGUUCUCAGUGGGCUGUUUACUCACACAUGUCUUAUUCCAAAUCCCAGGGCAAGAGGAAAAUGCAGGUCCUUUAUCCAAAAAUCAUGAAGAAGUUCAGUUUGGUGACUGAGAGCAUUAAACUUAGCACAGGGUUCCUCUGAGCAUGGAACACAUCCAUGAAUCUGGCCCUGCCUUCAAACUUGCAUAAGGGAGAGGACUCAAGAUGGUGCUGUGAGAACAACCCAGGAUUGGAGCUCUCGUUGAAUCCACGGAGAGACGGUCCGAGACGCUCCGUGGGGGAGGGGCGUCCACCAUUACCGAGGCAACCCGCCCCAACUGAGAUACACACCCACUGCUGACACAGCCUGCCAUUGCCGAGGCAACGUGGUGGAGACCACAGCAGAACAGCAGGGCGUGGCGGAGACCACAGCAGAACAGCAGAGCCUGCAGCAACAUGCCGAACCACACAACAGCAGGGCGGAGCCUCGGCAGGCAAACAGUGGCUAGUCUGCCUCCUAGCUGGUCAGGACAUCUCAACGGACAUCCAAAAUAAAGCCCGAACCCCCCAACACAGAGCAUUUGAGAAAAAAGGGUUUUUUUAAUGAGCUCUGUUGCAGCAGAAUCAAACAUAGCAGCCUAACAGCCCUGAAUGAACAACAGAGCUCACAGCUCAGCAAUUGAGCUCCUAUAAAGUACAGACUGUCUCCUCAAGCAGCUCCCUGACCCCUCUAUAUCCAAAAGACUGACAUUUGGCAGGCAUCAUGCUGGGACAAAGAUAGCAGAAAAAGAAACUGGUAGCAUCCCUCGCUGUGCCACAGCUGCUAGAGGUGCACCCCAGACAAGCAGGGCCUGGAGUGGACCUCAGCAGUCGUACAGCAAAGGAGCUAGACUGGUAGAAGGAAAACCAAGUAACAGAAAUACUUCAUCAUCAACAAUCUGGGUGUCCACUCAGAGACCCAAUCGAAAAGUCAGCAACUAUGCAGACGACAAGCGGACAAAUCCACAAAGAUGGGAAGAAACCAGCAAAAAAAGGAGGAAAACCCCCGAAACUAGAACACCUCGCCUCCUAGAAAGGACCAAAACUCCUCACCAGCAAGGGAACAAAGCUGGACAGAGAAUGACUGUGACGAAAUGAUGGAAUUAGACUUCAGAAGGUGGAUAAUGAGAAACUUUUGUGAGCUAAAAGAACAUGUAUUAAAUCAAUGCAAAGAAACUAAGGAACUUGAAAAAAGAUAUGAGGAAAUGAUAAUAAGAAUGGAUAACUUAGAGAGGAAUAUGAAUGAAUUAAAGGAGCUGAAAAACACAAUACGAGAACUUCGCAAAGCAUGCACAAGUUUCAAUAGCCGAAUUGACCAAGCAGAAGAAAGAAUAUCUGAAGUCGAAGACCAACUCAAUGAAAUAAAACGAGAAACCAAGAAUAGAGAAAAAAGCACAAAAAGGAAUGAACAAAGUCUCCAAGAAAUGUGGGACUAUGUGAAAGACCUAACCUACAUUUGAUAGAUGUACCAGAAGGGGACGAAGAGAAUGAAUCCAAGCUGGAAAAUACUCUUCAGGACAUCAUCCAGGAAAAUUUCCCCCACCUAGCAAGACAGGCCAACACUCAAAUGCAGGAAAUACAGAGAACACCACAAACAUAUUCCGCAAGAAGAGCAACCCCAAGGCACAUAAUCGUCAGAUUCAACAAGGUUGAAAUAAAGGAGAAAAUACUAAGAGCAGCCAGAAAGAAAGGUCGGGUCACCCACAAAGGGAAGCCCAUCAGACUCACAGCAGAUAUCUCGGCAGAAACACUACAAGCCAGAAGAGAGUGGGGGCCAAUAUUCAACAUUCUUAAAGAAAAGAACUUUCAACCCAGAAUUUCAUAUCCAGCCAAACUGAGCUUCAGAAGUGAAGGAAAAGUAAAAUCCUUUGCGAACAAGCAAGUACUCAGAGAUUUUGUCACCACCAGGCCUGCUUUACAAGAGCUCCUAAAAGAGGCACUACACAUAGAAAGGAACAACCAGUACCAGCCAUUCCAAAAGCACACUAAAUGCUAAAGAGCAUCAACAUAAUGAAGAAUCUACAACAACUAACAGGCAAAACAGCCACUUAGCAUCAAAAUGGCAGUAUCAAAUUGACACAUAACAAUAUUAACCCUAAAUGUAAAUGGACUAUAUGCACCAAUCAAAAGACACAGACUGGCCAAUUGGAUAAAAAUCCAAAACCCAUCAGUGUGCUGUAUCCAGGAAACCCGUCUCACAUGCAAGGAUACACAAAGGCUCAAAAUAAAGGGAUGGAGGAAGAUUUACCAAGCAAAUGGAGAGCAAAAAAAGCAGGAGUUGCAAUUCUCAUCUCUGAUAAAAUAGACUUUAAAGCAACAAAGAUCAAAAGAGACAAAGAAGGCCAUUACAUAAUGGUAAAAGGAUCGAUACAACAAGAAGAGCUAACGAUCCUGAACAUAUAUGGACCCAAUGCAGGAGCACCCAGAUACAUAAGGCAAGUUCUUAAUGACUUACAAAGAGACUUAGACUCACACACAAUAAUAGUGGGAGACUUUAACACUCCACUGUCAAUAUUAGACAGAUCAACCAGACAGAAAAUCAACAAGGAUAUCCAGGGCUUGAACUCAGACCUGGAGCAAGCAAACCUGAUAGACAUUUACAGAACUCUCCACCCCAAAUCCACAGAAUACACGUUCUUCUCAGCACGACAUCACACCUACUCUAAAAGUGACCACAUAAUUGGAAGUAAAGCACUGCUCAACAAAUGCAAAACAACUGAAAUCAUAACAAACAGCCUCUCAGACCAUAGUGCAAUCAAGUUAGAACUCAGAAUACAGAAACCAACCCAGAACCGCACAGCUUCAUGGAAACUGAACAACUGGCUCUUGAAUGUUGACUGAGUAAACAAUGAAAUGAAGACAGAAAUAAAGAAGUUCUUCAAAACCAAUGAGAACGAAGAGACAACAUGCCAGAACCUCUGGGACACAUUUAAAGCAGUCUCUAGAGGAAAGUAUAUAGUAAUAAGUGCCCAUAUGAGGAGAAUGGAGAGAUCCAAAAUUGACACCCUAUCGUCAAAAUUGAGAGCUAGAGGAACAAGAUCAAAAAAACUCAAAACCCAGCAGAAGACAAGAAAUAACUAAGAUCAGAGCUGAACUGAAGGAGAUUGAGACACGAAAAACCCUUCAAAAAAUCAAUAAAUCCAAGAGCUGGUUUUUUGAAAAGAUCAACAAAAUAGACAGACCACUAGCCAGAUUGAUUAAAAAUA